AAGAAAGUGACAGAGGGGCUAUGUGGUUGGCUUGAAACCUUCAUACGGGGGUUCGAUUCCUCCCUUUCUCG
rnacentral:tRNA from 5 species